UAAACUCUUCUUACAAUAUUCAAAAUCAGGUACUCUCUGUGGUAUUUAAUUAUUAAUUGUUUAGAGGAAAUAUGUACUUUCCACAAAAAUAUUUUAUUCUUCGUAAAAAAAGAUUUAUGAAUGAAGGAAACGGAAUAUUUCUUGGCGUUGGAGUUUUAACACAGACUUGGUAUUUUAUUAUGAGAAUUGCUGAGUUGCGUGGAUAAUUCGUGGAGCAAAUCGUGGGCAAAUAAUAUUAUUGUUUGAAUUUGGUUGGUCGCAGCUGUAUGAAGACAGGCAUGUUGCUCCUUCAAAUUAAAUUGAAGGCUAAGCGAUAAAAUAAAGUAUUUGGGUAAUCGGGGUACUAGUCAUUGCUUAUCGCCUGAAGGUUUCUAAAUUUUAUAUCGGGUAUUAAUAUGUACGGAAAGAUUGCGGCCGUUUUGGUAACUGUAUCCUAGCGAUUGAGAAUGUUAAACGCCUGUCUUUGCGUGGAGGGCCGUCUUCUCAAUCGAUUUAUACCUUUAGCAUGCAUGAACAGAAGAGAUCCUCGAAUAAGAGCAGCUUCUUGCAGACCCUGGAUGAUAUAAUACUGGAUUAGUUGAUGACAGGCGAGCAGGUCGUGAAGGUAUUAUUAGAAGACGUGAUAGCUGCCAAGGUGUGGUUCUGAGAUUACACCAUAUUUGAUGGUUCAGGGUUGUUCUAGGCAUUUCGUGGCUUUCCUUUAGUGUUUAUCUUCACAUCGUGGCUCUUUAUUCUGAUAAAAUGCUAUCGCAGAAAGUGCCUUCAAAGAUAUAAUCCUUUGUUAUUUUGAGUUCUGCAGUAAUUACCAGAGACUUCUCCCAUGUCCAAGUGAAGUGAAGAUGAUGUGCUGUUGUUAAUGAUCACAGUUUGUAUUGAAGCAAGCAUCGAAUUGGCUGAUAAGGAGACUUUGGUCCUGUAUAUUAGAGCUUCCAACUAGUUGGGUUGCUGUUUAUCAUUUGGGUAAACUCUUCUAGUCUCUCCAGCCAUGUAAGACAAGCUUGAGGUCAGAAAAUAAUCCCACCUUUCUUCAGAUAACGAUUAAUAUGCAAUUCACAGUUGAAAUCUGAUUUUCACAUCAGAAAAUUGUUUGAGAAAUUUUCAUGAUCUUUCCUUGGAAUGAAUGUAUGUUAUCUAUUAUACAAUGCAAUGAAACAUUCACAAAUCUGAAUACUCUCAAACCUGUAAGAGAACCCUGUAUCUAAGGGAUCACACAAACUGUUUGACAAUAUGUCUGAUUAGUGAACCAUUGAGAAGUAAAGGGAAAGUGUAAAAUUUUGGAAGAUACCAGUGAGGUUCAUUACAGUUUCACCCUCUACCUAUUAGUAUGUCUGAUAUAAUGCACAAUAUUUGUGCAUAAUAGUAUUAAAAUCAUAAAAUUUAAAUAUUAAAAUACUAAAAGAAGCAUCAGAUACUUGAAGUGAAGGUAAAAGAACACAAAGUUAGACCAAAUUUAAUGUAACAUGCUCUUUUCAAAAAUCUCAACAAACUCAAUGCAAACUAAGAAUAUAUCAGAAAACCCUUUGAAAUCCCCUUUUGACAAUAAAGACAACCCGUAAUAAUGAGGACAUGUAGUGACUUUAUGAUGCAAUGAAUCUGAGGUAUAAAAUGUGAGGUGAGCUUACCAAAAGGGAGGUGACAAAAAAAUCCUUCUUAGAAAAUAAGGUCAUCCACAGCCAUCCACGAACCCAUGGACAUGUAGUCAGGUUAUGGUGUACAAAAUGUGAGGUGGCGUUUAUAGGCUUCAUUUGUAUCUUCUUUACUUUAGUCCAGAUGAGCUAGGCACUUUCUAUUUUAUGAUUUAUAGCAUGUACUUUUCAUCAGUGCCAUUGGCUAUUCCUACGCCUUGACCUAAGUGCCAUUCCUACACUGAAGUGCCAAGGUAGCGGCUAGUGCUGGGAUUUUUGGUUCAAUGUGAUUUCAUGCAGUCUGUUAAAUUGAAAAACUGCAGAGAAGGGCAUAUUUUCUUGAAUUUGUGGAGCUGCAGCUGCUUAGAAGAAGAUAUUCAGAGGAACCUAGCGAUGGGGUUCUGAAAGAUUGCUGCACCUGCUAAAAAGAUUUUUGAGUAAUUAUGUUUUAAUUGCAGCUGAGUAUUAUUUUAACUUAUAAUAUAUUUUUAUUUCACAGAUAUUUAUCAGCAUUUAUUGGUACAUAUUCCAGAAAUAAUGUAGCAGAUAAUUUUUUUAAUUUUUUCAUGGACUCACUUCACUCCGAAAAUCUCCUAAAUUAUCUAGCCGACCCUGCGCCCUGCACUAGGCCACCAUGUUAGACUUGUAGACAUUAAUUUAAAUCAUAGAAACUUUUUUGAUAUACUAAUGUUCGAGGUGAUUAAAACAGGUCACCAGUAAUCUCUAAAAUUAGCAAAAGAUAAACAAGUGUUAGGAACAAAGUAUGGAUCUGGACCAGAGCCAAUGCUGAAGAGGAACACGCAACUCCCAAAGCCAUUCAAACACAGGUCAUUUGCCGUACACUCUGCAGGGGAGGUGAUCUUCGGAGCUAUUAUGGACUGUGAAGGUUGCUGAAGAAAAGACAAGAAUUUGUUUCUUCCAUGAAUGAGGACGGAACAGUUGAUGGCUGCAAGAAGAAACUCACAAAAACAGUGACACGGUUUAAUUACAGAGAGCACAAUAUUUGUAUUUCAGUCUUCAAGCAUAUUUGUUAUUGCGUGGAUAGUAUGUCCUUUGUUUUAAGAGCACAAUUAUUUAUCUCAGACUCUGAGACUGUAUACUUGCUGUGGCUGUUCGUCCUUUGAGAACUGAUUUUAGCUCAUGAUCUUCUGUUUUGCUGGUUGUGUGAACUUUUUCUAUAUCAUUACUACCUCUUUAGGCAGCAGGCAAAUCCUUUUUAUGCUGCUGUUCUGCUGUUG